UGACUCGUGGCUGAGUUGGUUAAAGCGCCAAACUAGCGUUUACGGAGUCGUGGGUUCGAAUCUCACCAGAACAA
rnacentral:tRNA from 1 species